CCACCCUUUCCCCACGGUCUAAGCAUGAUAUCUAUCUGUCUCUGACACUAGGUAAACUUCAAAAUGUUUAGAUACAUAAAAGAAAAUCAAAGACAAUUAUGUACCUUUCAUAAUAUAACAGUGAAUCUGUGUCUUCAUAUAUAAAUUCUUUGCAAUUUGCAUAUUAUUUUAAGGCCAGAUUCGUGCCCCACAAGGGCGCAAAGCAAGUUACCAUCAUCAAGUUUGCUGAUAAAACUAAUGCUUCCUUCAGGACAAGUAUCCAAAAGGAGAAACUUUGAGGAAGAAGAUUGCAGCUAGUUCUGAUGACGAAGGAAGCACUUCUGAUUCUUCAGACGAUGAAUCGCCUAGAGCAAUUUCCUAUCGAACUCCCUUUUUCACGCAGGGUCUCGGUAGACUUUUCAAAUGCCUCUGUAAUCCAGCAUUUGAUGUGGAUGAUGAAGAGAUAGUUUACAAAAGCAAAUGACUCAUGAACUUAAAGACACUACGAAACAAAAAAAUCAGUCCUUUCAAUAUUUUGUUCGUGAGAUGAUAUACUAAAAGGACUUUUCUGAUACCCUCUGAACGUAGUUUUGGGAAGAAUGGGGCAAGCCGUGAAUAAUCAAUCAUAUUUCGUUGCUUGUUGUCAUAGUCUUCGCCCUCAAAUUUUACAUGUGUCAUAACACUUGGUCAAGUGUAACAUUUCUGUCAAAUCCACAACACUUUUCUUUUUC